GUGGAUUAGAUACCCUGGUAGUCCACGCCGUAAACGAUGCUAACUCGUUUUUGGAUUUUCGGAUUCAGAGACCAAGCGAAAGUGAUAAGUUAGCCACCUGGGGAGUACGUCCGCAAGGAUGAAACUCAAAGGAAUUGACGGGGGCCCGCACAAGCGGUGGAUUAUGUGGUUUAAUUCGAUGAUACGCGAGGAACCUUACCAAGACUUAAAUGGGAAUUGACAGGUUUAGAAAUAGACCCUCCUUCGGGCAAUUUCCAAGGUGCUGCACGGUUGUCGACAGCU
rnacentral:rRNA from 1 species